rnacentral:rRNA from 1 species
AGUAUAAGCAAUUAUACAGCGAAACUGCGAAUGGCUCAUUAUAUAAGUUAUCGUUUAUUUGAUAGUACCUUACUACUUGGAUAACCGUGGUAAUUCUAGAGCUAAUACAUGCUAAAAAUCCCGACUUCGGAAGGGAUGUAUUUAUUAGAUUAAAAACCAAUGCCCUCUGGGCUCUCUGGUGAUUCAUGAUAACUUCUCGAAUCGCAUGGCCUUGCGCCGGCGAUGGUUCAUUCAAAUUUCUUCCCUAUCAACUUUCGAUGUUUGGGUAUUGGCCAAACAUGGUCGCAACGGGUAACGGAGGGUUAGGGCUCGACCCCGGAGAAGGAGCCUGAGAAACGGCUACUACAUCCAAGGAAGGCAGCAGGCGCGCAAAUUACCCAAUCCCGACACGGGGAGGUAGUGACAAUAAAUACUGAUACAGGGCUCUUUCGGGUCUUGUAAUUGGAAUGAGUACAAUUUAAAUCCCUUAACGAGGAACAAUUGGAGGGCAAGUCUGGCCC